GCAGCCGCCACCCCGCGCAGGUAGGCGGCCAGCCUCGGGUCGGCGUGGAGUUGGAGGAGCAACUCCGCCGCGCGUUCCAUGUCGCGCCAGCUGCC
rnacentral:tRNA from 1 species